AUGUCCAAGGUAACGGCGCCGGGGCCCGGGCCGCCGGCGGCGGCGGGCGGGAAGGAGAAGCGCUCGUUCAGCAAGCGGCUGUUCCGGAGCGGCCGCGCGGGCGGCGGCGGCGGCGGCGGCGGCGGCGGGGCGGGGGGCCCCGGGCCGGCCGCGCCCUCCUCGGCGCGCUCGGUCGGCAGCUUCAUGAGCCGCGUCCUCAAGACGCUGUCGACGCUGUCGCACCUGAGCUCCGAGGGCGCCGGCCCCGAGCGCGGCGGCCUCCGCAGCUGCUUCCCGCCCGCCGCCGCGCCCGCGCCGCCGCCCUGCCCGCCGCCGCCCGCCGCGCCCGCCGCGCCGCCCGCUUGCGCCUCGGAGCCCGUGCCCGGCGUGGCGGGGCUCCGCAACCACGGCAACACGUGCUUCAUGAACGCCACGCUGCAGUGCCUCAGCAACACCGAGCUCUUCGCCGAGUACCUGGCGCUCGGCCAGUACCGCGCGGGCCGCCCGGAGCCCGAAGCCCAGCCCCAGCCCGAGCCCCAGCCUCCCGCCGCCGGCCGCGGCGGCCAGGGUCAGGGCCAAGGCGAGGUCACCGAGCAGCUGGCGCACCUGGUGCGGGCUCUUUGGACCCUAGAGUACACCCCGCAGCACAGCCGCGACUUCAAGAGUAUUGUGUCAAAGAAUGCACUGCAGUAUCGUGGAAAUUCCCAGCAUGACGCCCAGGAGUUUCUGCUGUGGCUUUUGGACCGAGUUCACGAAGACCUCAAUCAUGCCAUAAAGGAGAGUGGCCAGCCUCCUCUGAAGCCUCCAUCAGAGACAGAUAUGAUGCCCGAGGGACCAUCUUUUCCUGUGUGUAGCACUUUUGUACAAGAACUUUUUCAAGCCCAGUACAGAUCUUCUUUGACAUGUCCUCACUGUCAGAAGCAGAGCAACACUUUUGACCCUUUCCUCUGCAUUUCUUUGCCAAUUCCUCUGCCCCACACAAGGCCUCUCUAUGUCACCGUAGUGUAUCAAGGGAAAUGCUCCCACUGCAUGAGGAUUGGUGUGGCUGUACCUCUGUCUGGGACUGUCGCUAGACUUCGGGAAGCAGUAUCUGUGGAGACAAAGAUCCCCACUGAUCAGAUUGUGUUAACAGAAAUGUACUAUGAUGGGUUCCAUCGUUCCUUUUGUGAUACAGACGACCUGGAGACUGUCCAUGAAAGUGACUGCAUUUUUGCCUUUGAGACUCCAGAAAUAUUUAGGCCUGAAGGAAUUCUCAGUCAAAGAGGCAUUCACUUAAACAAUAAUCUAAACCACUUGAAAUUUGGCCUGGAUCAUCAUAGAUUAUCUUCCCCACUACAAGCAGCAGCCAAGCAGGGGAGGAUGGACUUGCCCAGCUCCCGAACAGGAGGUGACAAGAUUGUCCUGCUGGUGUGCAACCGAGUGUGCACGGGACAGCAAGGGAAGAGGUUUGGACUGCCUUUCGUCCUGCACUUGGAGAAGACAGUGGCAUGGGACCUUUUGCAGAAGGAAAUCCUGGAGAAGAUGAAGUAUUUCUUGAGGCCCUCAGUUUGCAUUCAGGUGUGUCCAUUCAGUUUGCGUGUGGUCAGUGUUGUGGGCAUAACGUACUUGCUGCCCCAGGAAGAGCAGCCCCUGUGCCACCCAACAGUUGAAAGGGCAUUAAAGUCUUGUGGACCAGGCGGCACAGCUCAUGUGAAGUUAGUAGUAGAAUGGGACAAGGAGACAAAAGAUUUCUUGUUCAUAAACACAGAAGAUGAGUAUAUCCCUGACGCGGAGAGCGUCCGUCUGCAGAGGGAGCACCACCAGCAGCCUCAGACCUGCACUUUAUCCCAGUGUUUCCAGCUCUACACCAAAGAGGAGCGGCUUGCCCCGGACGAUGCCUGGCGCUGUCCGCACUGUAAACAGCUGCAGCAGGGGAGCAUCACGCUGAGCCUGUGGACGCUGCCCGACGUCCUCAUCAUCCACCUCAAGAGGUUUCGCCAGGAAGGAGACAGGCGUAUGAAACUUCAGAACAUGGUCAAGUUCCCCUUGACUGGCCUGGACAUGACACCUCAUGUGGUUAAGAGAAGCCAGAGCAGCUGGAGCUUGCCAUCCCAUUGGUCCCCGUGGAGACGGCCCUAUGGACUCGGGAGGGACCCUGAGGACUCCAUCUAUGACCUGUAUGCUGUGUGCAACCACCAUGGCACCAUGCAAGGGGGGCACUACACAGCGUACUGUAAGAACUCUGUGGAUGGCCUCUGGUACUGCUUUGACGAUAGCGAAGUGCAACAGCUGUCAGAAGAUGAAGUGUGCACGCAGACGGCCUAUAUCCUCUUUUACCAGAGGCGGACUGCCAUCCCCUCAUGGUCAGCCAACAGCUCGGUGGCAGGUUCCACAAGUUCCUCCCUGUGCGAGCACUGGGUGAGCCGACUUCCGGGGAGCAAGCCAGCCAGCGUGACCUCUGCGGCCUCCUCCAGACGCACUUCCCUAGCCUCGCUCUCUGAGUCUGUGGAGAUGACCGGGGAGAGGAGCGAAGAUGACGGAGGCUUUUCAACUAGACCAUUCGUGAGAAGCGUCCAGCGUCAGAGCUUGUCAUCCAGAUCUUCCGUCACCAGCCCCUUGGCUGUCAACGAAAACUGCAUGAGACCCUCGUGGUCCCUGUCUGCCAAGCUACAGAUGCGCUCCAGUUCUCCUUCCCGGUUCUCAGGGGACUCCCCGAUUCACGGCUCUGCCUCUACCCUGGAAAGGAUUGGGGAAGCCGGGGACGACAAGGUCUCCAUCUCUUGCUUCGGUAGCUUACGGAACCUGUCCAGCAGCUACCAGGAGCCAAGUGACAGUCAUGGUCGCCGUGAGCACAAGGUUGCAGGCCGGGCCCCGCUGGCUGUCAUGGAAGGUGUGUUCAAAGACGAGUCAGAUGCCCGCAAAUUGAACUCUAGUGUUUUAGAUGCACAGAACAAAAACUUAGCACAAGGGGAUCGCCUGUCCCCCAUCUGCCCCCCAUCUGAUCCAUUUGACAACAACAACCAGAUUGCCUAUGUAGACCAGAGUGAUUCCGUGGACAGCUCUCCCGUCAAAGAGGUGAAGCCCCCAGGCCCCCCAAGCUCCUUCACAAAGAAGCCUGAGAGCACAGCUAGGAGGCCCUCGAGUGGCAGAGGUGCCCCUGAGCCAGAGAGGGGUGUGCGCAAGGGGCGGCCGGCCCUGGCGAGCCAGGACUCAUCUCUCUCAAGUACGUCCCCCUCCUCGCCCGUCCCUGUGAAGGCUUCUCUGAAGCCCUCCCGUUCUCGCAGCAAAGCAGACUCUGCUGCUAGGGCCAGUGGAAGGCACUCAGCCCCUGCGCCGGCCCAGCCCAGAAAGGAGUCAUCCUCCAAGUCCCAGGACUCCGUGUCUUCCCCUUGCGCGCAGAAGCAGAAGCCUUCCUCUGCCCUCGCUCACUCUGCAGCUUCCACAGCUGCCAAAAAAACUUCGGGCCCUGCCCCCAGGGGCACCGUCCCUCCUGGAAAGAGCAGGACUUCAGAUCGGAGCUUAAGCAGAGAGGGCUCCCGCCACAGCCUGGGCUCCGACAGAGCCAGUGUCAUCUCCACCUCCAAACCCACCUCCCCUCGGGUGAGCCAGGCCAGAGCAGGCGAGGGCAGAAGUGAUGGCAAGCACGUGCGAAGCUCCUCCAUGGCCAGCCUGCGCUCGCCCAGUGCCAGCGUGCGCUCCGGCCUGAAGAGGGACAGCAAGUCUGAGGACAAGGGACUGUCCUUCUUCAAGUCGGCCUUGAGACAGAAGGAGACUCGGCGGUCCACUGAUCUGGGCAAGACCACACUGCUCGCCAAAAAGGCUGCUGGGGGCUCUGUCAAGUCAGUGGGUAAGAAUACCCCAGAUGACAAGGCUGAGAAAGACCAGCCUCCAGGCUCCCAGCAGCCAAGCGGGAAUGUGGUCGGUAAAGACCUCACCUCUAAGGACGCUGCUUCUGCUAAGCGUUCCCUGCUGUCCUCCCGCAAACCCAAGUCUUCCCAGCUGGAUUCUGGAGUCCCCUCGUCUCCCAGUGGCAGGCAGGCCUCAGAGAAAGCCUCCAAAAAGUUAGCUUCCAGCAUGCAAAGCUCUGCACGGCCUUCUCAGAAACCUCAGUGACGUUUCUGCACCCCAAGUGUUUUAUCUGUAAAGAUGUUUAUUUAUUUAGAACCCUCUCUCCCACUAAAGCCCUCUCUGCUUUUGUUUUGUAUUUUUUGGUGUGUGUGUGUGUGUGUGUGUGUGUGUGUGUGUGUGUGUGU